rnacentral:rRNA from 1 species
GGGUGCGAUCGUCUUAGCACUUAUGCAUCGGAUCCCAUCGGAACUUCGAAGUUAAGAGCGUUUGGGCGAGAAUGGUUCCAAGAGAAGCUUUCUCGCAUGUAACACCCG